CCACCACUGACACUACCCAAUGUUGCGUUUGUUGCUACCCGUGUCUCGUUAUUAAUGAAAACCCCACUUCUUCUACUUUUUCUCAAUUCUACUUUACUUUCUCCCACUUCUUCUUCUUUACUUCUCCAGACUGAAAGAGUCAUCGUGUUCUGCCUCUUGCCUCUCGCCUCCCACAUCGAUGCAUGCCAACAUCAAAGCAGGAGCAGUGAUUUCAAUGCCAAAGUUUCAUCUUCCAAAUUAGUCGUGAGGAGCAACCUAGCUUUGAGGGGCCCUUUGGUUGUCAAGUGUUCCAAUGCUGAUGGAAAUGGAACUUCAGUGAAGAGAACAGUUCUUCAUGAUCUCUAUGAGAAGGAAGGGCAGAGUCCAUGGUAUGAUAACCUCUGUUGGCCUGUUACAGAUCUACUUCCUCUAAUUGCAAGUGGUGUUAGAGGUGUUACUAGCAACCCAGCGGUAAUUAUGCACAUAUUAUUAAUAUUAAAACUUUUCCAUGAUUUGGAACCAAUCUGAUACGCAAACUCGUCCACAGAUUCACCCUCAGUUCUUCCCCCUAAAUCAAACCCUAAAUCCACACACUCACCCAAACACUCCGGCCACUCUGCCUCACUAAAUCCCGCUACCCAUACUGAAACCCACAAUUUUUAGAAGCUUGUAAAACACCAGUGGCAGGUUCUUACCAAUGUCGGAAACAAGUAAUUAUUACUCCAGUACUAGUGGGCAUCUGUGUGACCUAGACCAUUGCACCCUUAGGACAUCCCUGAAACUUCAUACUUUUGGUAGGAGGUUUUAUGGCUGUCACUACUGGUCACCAGGUGAUGACCGUGCAUGUAAGUUCUUCAAAUGGUUGGACACCAAAACUUGCAUGUGUGGCGCAGUAACAACACCUAUUGUGUUAGCAAAAUUCCGAAGAUUGGAGAACGAGGUGGAACUUGCUAAUGAAGAGUUGAAGCAAGCACGUGCAAUGGGAGAAGCUGCAAAACGAAAGGCUAAAAGAGCCAAGGUUACGUGCAGGAUUUUCGAAGAGAAAGUGGAGAAGUUCAAGAUAGCUCUAGUAAUAUCAUGGGUGAUGUUUGGAGUACUACUUAUUUUGUCUACUAGGUUUAAGGAUGUUAGAAGCAGGCAAAUGUAUUUGCCUGGAUGAGUUGGUUAUGUGCGUAAUAAGCUAGAAUUGUAUUGUGAAAAUUGGAGAUCAUUUGUAUUGUAAUGGUACAACUUCAUGUACCAGUUUUUGUAUUGUAAGUAUAAACAUUUAUGGU